rnacentral:rRNA from 1 species
GAUGAACGCUAGCGGGAGGCCUAACACAUGCAAGCCGAGCGGUAGAGUCCCUUCGGAGACUUGAGCGCGGCGCACGGGUGCGGAACACGUGUGCAACCUGCCUUUAUCUGGGGGAUAGCCUUUCGAAGGGAAGAUUAAUACCCCAUAAUAUACUGGAUGGCAUCAUCUGGUAUUGAAAACUCCGGUGGAUAGAGAUGGGCACGCGCAAGAUUAGAUAGUUGGUGAGGUAACGGCUCACCAAGUCAGCGAUCUGUAGGGGGCCUGAGAGGGUGAUCCCCCACACGGGUACUGGGACACGGACCAGACUCCUACGGGAGGCAGCAGUGAGGAAUAUUGGACAAUGGGUGAGAGCCUGAUCCAGCCAUCCCGCGUGAAGGACGACGGCCCUAUGGGUUGUAAACUUCUUUUGUAUAGGGAUAAACCUAGAUACGUGUAUCUAGCUGAAGGUACUAUACGAAUAAGCACCGGCUAACUCCGUG